rnacentral:rRNA from 1 species
UGGGGAAUUUUGGACAAUGGGCGAAAGCCUGAUCCAGCAAUGCCGCGUGUGUGAAGAAGGCCUUCGGGUUGUAAAGCACUUUUGUCCGGAAAGAAAUCCUUGGCUCUAAUACAGUCGGGGGAUGACGGUACCGGAAGAAUAAGCACCGGCUAACUACGUGCCAGCAGCCGCGGUAAUACGUAGGGUGCAAGCGUUAAUCGGAAUUACUGGGCGUAAAGCGUGCGCAGGCGGUUUGCUAAGACCGAUGUGAAAUCCCCGGGCUCAACUGGGAACUGCAUUGGUGACUGGGCAGGCUAGAGUAUGGCAGGAGGGGGGUAGAAUUCCACGUGUAGCAGUGAAAUGCGUAGAGAUGUGGAGGAAUACCGAUGGCGAAGGCAGCCCCCUGGGCCAAUACUGACGCUCAUGCACGAAAGCGUGGGGAGCAAACAGGAUUAGAUACCCUGGUAGUCCACGCCCUAAACGAUGUCAACUAGUUGUUGGGGAUUCAUUUCCUUAGUAACGUAGCUAACGCGUGAAGUUGACCGCCUGGGGAGUACGGUCGCAAGAUUAAAA